AUUGAACGCUGGCGGCAGGCCUAACACAUGCAAGUCGAACGGAGCGGCGGAAGGGUGAUGAAGGACUAGUAAGCUGCCUGGUUGUGGGGGAUACCGUCCGGGAGCGGGCGCUAAGACAGCAGGCGAUCAAAUGAGCCUAGGGUGGCUAAGCUAGUUGGUGGGGUAAAGGCCUACCAAGGCGACGAUCCGUAACUGGUCUGAGAGGAUGAUCAGGCACACUGGAACUGAGACACGGUCCAGACUCCUACGGGAGGCAGCAGUGGGGAAUAUUGGACAAUGGGCGAAAGCCUGAUCCAGCCAUGCCGCGUGUGUGAAGAAGGUCUUCGGAUUGUAAAGCACUUUAAGUUGGGAGGCGUUACCAAAAGAAUAAGCACCGGCUAACUUCGUGCCAGCAGCCGCGGUAAUUC
rnacentral:rRNA from 1 species